GAGGGUAUUGCUUAGUGGUGGAGCACAUGCUUAGCAUGCAUGAGGUCCUGGGUUCAAUCCCCAGUCCCCCCA
rnacentral:tRNA from 1 species